rnacentral:rRNA from 1 species
CCUUUGUACACACCGCCCGUCGCUACUACCGAUUGAAUGGCCCAGUGAGGCCUUCGGACUGGCUCGGGGAGGUUGGCAACGACCACCCCAAGCCGGAAAGUUGGUCAAACUCGGUCAUUUAGAGG